rnacentral:rRNA from 1 species
GAUGAACGCUGGCGGCGUGCCUAAUACAUGCAAGUCGAGCGAACAGACGAGGAGCUUGCUCCUCUGACGUUAGCGGCGGACGGGUGAGUAACACGUGGAUAACCUACCUAUAAGACUGGGAUAACUUCGGGAAGCCGGAGCUAAUACCGGAUAAUAUAUUGAACCGCAUGGUUCAAUAGUGAAAGACGGUUUUGCUGUCACUUAUAGAUGGAUCCGCGCCGCAUUAGCUAGUUGGUAAGGUAACGGCUUACCAAGGCGACGAUGCGUAGCCGACCUGAGAGGGUGAUCGGCCACACUGGAACUGAGACACGGUCCAGACUCCUACGGGAGGCAGCAGUAGGGAAUCUUCCGCAAUGGGCGAAAGCCUGACGGAGCAACGCCGCGUGAGUGGUGAAGGUCUUCGGAUCGUAAAACUCUGUUAUUAGGGAAGAACAAAUGUGUAAGUAACUAUGCACGUCUUGACGGUACCUAAUCAGAAAGCCACGGCUAACUACGUG